rnacentral:RNase_P_RNA from 1 species
AAUGCAGGUUGUUCUAUCGCUGUCUCGAUUCGAUUCCUAUCGGAUUAUGGAGAGAGAGGAAAGUCCGGGCAACACAGGGCAUCUCGCUUUCUAACGGAAAGGGAUUCGGGAUUGAAGACCUGAAUUACGGAUCAGUGCAACAGAAAAUAUACCGCUCCGAUAAAUCGGAGUAAGGGUGAAAACGUGCGGUAAGAGCGCACGAGCAUUGCAGGCGACUGCAGUGGUUUGUAAACCCCGGGAGUUGAAAGACCAAAUAGGCUAACAUUCCGGCUUUACGUCGGGAUAAAGGGCGGCCCGUCCGAUGUUAGUGGGUAGGUCGUUAGAGGUAAACGGCAACGUUUACAGUAGAUUAAUGAUAGAAAUCCUGAUUACUCAGGAAACAGAACCCGGCUUAUAGACCUGCAUUUUUU